rnacentral:rRNA from 1 species
CAGUCGCCGCGGUAAUACGUAGGUGGCAAGCGUUGUCCGGAAUUAUUGGGCGUAAAGCGCGCGCAGGCGGAUAGGUCAGUCUGUCUUAAAAGUUCGGGGCUUAACCCCGUGAUGGGAUGGAAACUGCCAAUCUAGAGUAUCGGAGAGGAAAGUGGAAUUCCUAGUGUAGCGGUGAAAUGCGUAGAUAUUAGGAAGAACACCAGUGGCGAAGGCGACUUUCUGGACGAAAACUGACGCUGAGGCGCGAAAGCCAGGGGAGCGAACGGGAUUAGAUACCCGAGUAGUCCCUGUCUCUUAUACA